GGCAUCGGCAGCUUACACAUGCAGUCGAGGGGUAUAAUUCUUCGGAAUUAGAGACCGGCGCACGGGUGCGUAACGCGUAUGCAAUCUACCUUUUACAGAGGGAUAGCCCAGAGAAAUUUGGAUUAAUACCUCAUAGCAUAGCAGCUUCGCAUGAAGCCACUAUUAAAGUCACAACGGUAAAAGAUGAGCAUGCGUCCCAUUAGCUAGAUGGUAAGGUAACGGCUUACCAUGGCAACGAUGGGUAGGGGUCCUGAGAGGGAGAUCCCCCACACUGGUACUGAGACACGGACCAGACUCCUACGGGAGGCAGCAGUGAGGAAUAUUGGACAAUGGGCGCAAGCCUGAUCCAGCCAUGCCGCGUGCAGGAUGACGGUCCUAUGGAUUGUAAACUGCUUUUGCACAGGAAGAAACAACAUUACGUGUAAUGUCUUGACGGUACUGUGAGAAUAAGGAUCGGCUAACUCCGUGCCAGCAGCCGCGGUAAUACGGAGGAUCCAAGCGUUAUCCGGAAUCAUUGGGUUUAAAGGGUCCGUAGGCGGUUUAGUAAGUCAGUGGUGAAAGCCCAUCGCUCAACGGUGGAACGGCCAUUGAUACUGCUAGACUUGAAUUAUUAGGAAGUAACUAGAAUAUGUAGUGUAGCGGUGAAAUGCUUAGAGAUUACAUGGAAUACCAAUUGCGAAGGCAGGUUACUACUAAUGGAUUGACGCUGAUGGACGAAAGCGUGGGUAGCGAACAG
rnacentral:rRNA from 1 species